rnacentral:rRNA from 1 species
GUAACACGUAGUCAACCUACCCUGAAGACGCGGAUAACCCCGGGAAACUGGGACCAAUCCGUGAUAGGCCACUUCAUCUGGAAGGAGAGGUGGCCCAAAGGGGAAUCGUGGGCUUCCACUUUUCUCGCUCCAGGAUGGGACUGCGGCCGAUCAGGCUGUUGGCGGGGUAAUGGCCCACCAAACCAGUAACCGGUACGGGCCUUGAGAGAGGUGGCCCGGAGAUGGACACUGAGACAAGGGUCCAGGUCCUACGGGGCGCAGCAGGCGCGAAACCUUCGCAAUGCGCGAAAGCGUGACGAGGUUAAUCCGAGUGGCUUCCGCUGAGGAAGCCUUUUGCCGACUGUAAAAAGGUCGGAGAAUAAGGGGAGGGCAAGUCUGGUGUCAGCCGCCGCGGUAAUACCAGCUCCUCGAGUGGUCGGGGCGAUUAUUGGGCCUAAAGCAUCCGUAGCCGGUUCCGUAGGUCUCCCUGCAAAUCCAGUUCCUCAACCAUUGGCCCGCAGGAAAUACCGCGGAACU